rnacentral:sRNA from 1 species
GUCAACUACCUCGGCCUAAAGGCCGGGGCUUGAAAUAGCCUCUAGUUGACUAGCCUCAGGCCGUCAUUUGGCGGACUACGUUGGUUGAGAAUAUAUAGGCACCGCGGGAUGUAGAUACUAGUCCCGCGCUCUGC